AGAAUCAACGCUGGCGGCGUGCCUAACACAUGCAAGUCGCACGAGAAAGGGGAGCAAUCCCUGAGUAAAGUGGCGCACGGGUGAGUAACACGUGAAUCAUCUACCUCCGAGUGGGGAAUAACUGAGAGAAAUCUUAGCUAAUACCGCAUAAAACUUACGAGUCAAAGCAGCAAUGCGCUUGGAGAGGAGUUCGCGGCAGAUUAGUUAGUUGGCGGGGUAAUGGCCCACCAAGACGAUGAUCUGUAUCCGGCCUGAGAGGGCGCACGGACACACUGGAACUGAAACACGGUCCAGACUCCUACGGGAGGCAGCAGUGGGGAAUUUUGCGCAAUGGGGGAAACCCUGACGCAGCAACGCCGCGUGGAGGAUGAAAUCCCUUGGGAUGUAAACUCCUUUCGAUAGGGAAGAUAAUGACGGUACCUAUAGAAGAAGCCCGGCUAACUUCGUGCCAGCAGCCGC
rnacentral:rRNA from 1 species